UAAUCAUUUGUCUAUUAAUUGUAGACCUGUAUGAAAGGCAUAAUGAGAGCCCAACUGUCUCUUAUAACAAAUCAAUUAAACUGAUCUCCUAGUACAAAAGCUAGAAUAUCGACAUAAGACCAGAAGACCCUGUGAAGCUUUAACUAACCUAUUAAACCUAAUAAUAGUUACUUUCGGUUGGGGCGACCUUGGAACAAAAAAGAACUUCCAACACAUGACCUCCUCAUAAAAUAGGCAUACAAGCCAAUAUUAGACCCAGCACAGCUGAUAAUUGAAAUAAGUUACUCCAGGGAUAACAGCGCCAUCUUCUUCAAGAGCCCAUAUCAAAAAGAAGGUUUACGACCUCGAUGUUGGAUCAGGACAUCCCAGUAAUGCAACCGUUACUAAAGGUUCGUUUGUUCAACGAUUAACAGUCCUACGUGAU
rnacentral:rRNA from 1 species